UAGGGAAUCUUCGGCAAUGGACGAAAGUCUGACCGAGCAACGCCGCGUGAGUGAAGAAGGUUUUCGGAUCGUAAAACUCUGUUGUUAGAGAAGAACAAGGACGUUAGUAACUGAACGUCCCCUGACGGUAUCUAACCAGAAAGCGACGGCUAACUACGUGCCAGCAGCCGCGGUAAUACGUAGGUGGCAAGCGUUGUCCGGAUUUAUUGGGCGUAAAGCGAGCGCAGGCGGUUUCUUAAGUCUGAUGUGAAAGCCCCCGGCUCAACCGGGGAGGGUCAUUGGAAACUGGGAGACUUGAGUGCAGAAGAGGAGAGUGGAAUUCCAUGUGUAGCGGUGAAAUGCGUAGAUAUAUGGAGGAACACCAGUGGCGAAGGCGGCUCUCUGGUCUGUAGCUGACGCUGAGGCUCGAAAGCGUGGGGAGCAAACAGG
rnacentral:rRNA from 1 species